rnacentral:rRNA from 1 species
UAAUACAUAGGGUGCAAGCGUUGCCCGGAAUUAUUGGGCGUAAAGAGCUCGUAGGUCGUUUGUCGCGUCGAUUGUGAAAAUCUGAGGCUCAACCUCAGACCUGCAGUCGAUACGGGCAAACUAGAGUGUGGUAGGGGAGACUGGAAUUCCUGGUGUAGCGGUGGAAUGCGCAGAUAUCAGGAGGAACACCAAUGGCGAAGGCAGGUCUCUGGGCCAUAACUGACACUGAGGAGCGAAAGUGCGGGGAGCGAACAGGAUUAGAUACCCUGGUAGUCCGCACCGUAAACGGUGGGCACUAGUUGUGGGAACCUUCCACGGUUUCCGCGACGCAGCAAACGCAUUAAGUGCCCCGCCUGGGGAGUACGAUCGCAAGAUUAAAACUCAAAGGAAUUGACGGGGGCCCGCACAAGCGGUGGAUUAUGUGGUUUAAUUCGAUGAUACGCGAGGAACCUUACCAAGACUUAAAUGGGAAUUGACAGGUUUAGAAAUAGAUC